ACGGAAGUGAAUUAGAAUGACAAUUUAUUAACAAAAUAACAACAGUACAUAUACACAUACAUCAUGGAUCCAUGAGAUUAACAAUACUAAUAAAAUUACUUGAUUACACAAGUUGGUAAAACAUAAAAAAAAAUGGUAUAAGUUGGAACAACCCUGAUGAGUAAGGUUAUACUCAACAGGUGAGCAAACAAGUACAACCAGAUAAGUAGCACAGUUUAAACUCAUAUAAUCAACUCAGAAGAGAUGCUCAUGAACAAAGGUGAAAAAGAAAAACAAAGUGGAAUCUUACGUGUCAAAUUGAUAAUGUAUAUAAUUGGUUGGGUUGGUGUACGAAUGGUAUAGAUGACUCCAAAAGAUGGUAAAAAAUGAAGCUCACAGCGUGGCUUUAACUAUGUGCUUAAUUUUUCUCACAAUGAAAUUUCAACUAUGUGCUUUAUUAAUACAAAUAGUGCUUUUAAAUAGCUAACUUGUAAGCAGAGGCCAGUGGACUGUGUGCUAUGACAGAGUAGAUAAACAAUUCAGAGUUCAAAGUGCAUGUGUCAAAGAAAAAAUCCAAAUAAAUAAAUAAAAAAGCAAUAACAAAUAGCAGUGGGUUAAAUUAGUGAAGCAACUAUAAUAUUCAAUGCUAUAAAAUCACUACUAAAAAGUAAAAUCAAAAUUCAAAUAGACGAUUGGUUGUGACAAAAUAAACUAUGUUGGUAUUAAAAAGCUUGAAUUACAGCAAAUAGAUUUGUGUCUUUAAAAUCUUGAAUUUCAGCAAACAAGAUUGUGCCUUUAAAAAGGGGGAAGUGUAUAAACUUGAAGUGUCCCAAACGUAAAUAUAGUAAGCAAUAAUCCAAGGGUGGAUAUGAGAUGUUAUGUGAAGCUAGGUCUUAAAGAUCCCAGCAUCGAAGCUGUGUAUCUGUGACAGCUCCUGGGUUCAGUGUAGGACGUGUAGGAUUGUCAUUCUAAUUCACUUCUGUUGCAUGUGGCACUCCAAAUUUAGUUCCACUUAGACCUAGCCUCCCUUUGGGUGGCGCUUUGAUGUAUUUCUGAUUACUUUCUAAAUAGAAGCAUCAUAAAGGAUCCUCUUGUAAAUAACACUUUCUAAUCCUAGUUAUAAAAGCCCCAGAUUGGAAGUGCUCUCCUGCUGUCCUUUGUUCCUCUAUAUAUGUGCACCUCAGUUUCUCUCAUAUCAAUGUGAUAGAAUCCAAACACCACACAGGAAUAUACAGAUCUGUCCUCAUACUGACCAGUUUACACAACCAUUCACCACCAAAGCACCCCCAGUGUUUAUUAAUAUGCCAGUGUUAGGAGUUGUACGUUUGUUUUACAUAGGGGAGGUAAUAAUUAUAUUUACAGAAUAAAGGAGUCUUUAUAUGAAUAGAGUGUUAGAGAAUUAUAUAAACAAGAACAUCAGUCUCAAA